rnacentral:lncRNA from 1 species
GGCAUGAAAUGCACAAAUAUUAGUUGCUAAUAAAAAUCAGACGGUUAGCUCUGUACUGGAAAGCGAACAGCACACACAUAAAUCAUAAAAAAACAAUAUCCCUAAGGUGCGUUCCUGAUCAGUAAGCUGAAAACCAAACAAGGAGAGAAAUGACUCAAAGUGUCCAUUUGCAUCCCUCUUUCUCAUUACCUCAGACCAACAAGCUCUCUCUCCUGUGAGUUACCUCCCUGCACUUCUGUCCUCGAUCAGAAGAGCCUCGUGGAAAAGGUCGCAGGCUCUCUCUUCUUUCCCUUCAGGAUCUUGAGGCACUGAAGGAGCAUGGGGGGAGGGGAACGGAAAGGACAAAGAUUCUCCUAUCCUACCAACCCGUGUGAUGGACCCUGGACCACAAGAAGAGGAAGCAGUUAGGGGCAGUGGAGUCACCCUGGGGUUGACUGCACUCAUCAUCCACAGGAUGUGCACACUUACUUCACAGACACUCUUCUGCAGUCUCAAAAUCUCACCCAUCAACUAUGACCCCUCCUACCUGCUGCCCCAACAACAUAUUUAAUCAGCAGCUAACACUAUGUAGCCCCAGGGGGUUGCAGCGCCUGGGUUCUUAGGGGGAUCCCAGGUCCCCAAAAGGAGUUUAGAAUCCAAACUGAAGAGAGCAGACAAGCACAUGAGAAAUGCGAAUAAAACUAACCACAUCUAAGGAAGCCCUCUGUAAAAGGUCACAGUGUCAUCCGCCCAACUCCCAGGGCACGUUCCCGGCCCACCGCCUUCACUUGUUACAAGCAUCUUUCCUCGGAGGAGCCCAAAGCCCCACGCAAGACUCUUCCUUUCUUGCUCCCAGUCUCAGGGGCGAGACUCCCUCCCUGAGUCCCGGAUGCUCUUGCUCCUAGCCCUCCACUCCUAC